GAUGAAGAACGUAGCGAAAUAUGAUAAGUAAUGUGAAUUGCAGAAUUCAGUGAAUCAUCGAAUCUUUGAACGCACAUUGCGCCCGCCAGUAUUCUGGCGGGCAUGCCUGUUCGAGCGUCAUUUCAACCAUCAAGCCCCAGGCUUGUGUUGGGGACCUGCGGCUGCCGCAGGCCCUGAAAACCAGUGGCGGGCUCGCUGUCACACCGGGCGUAGUAGAUUUUAUCUCGCUCUGGGCGUGCUGCGGGUUCCGGCCGUUAAAAAACCCUUUUAACCCAAGGUUGACCUCGGAUCAGGUAGGAAUACCCGCUGAACUUAAGCAUAUCAAUAAGCGGAGGA
rnacentral:misc_RNA from 1 species